rnacentral:rRNA from 1 species
AGGCAGCAGUAGGGAAUCUUUCACAAUGGGCGAAAGCCUGAUGGAGCAACGCCGCGUGCAGGAUGAAGGCCUUCGGGUUGUAAACUGCUUUUAUAAGCGAGAAAUAUGAUGGUAACUUAUGAAUAAGGAUCGGCUAACUACGUGCC